rnacentral:rRNA from 1 species
AUGCAGUCGAGGGGCAGCAUGGUCUUAGCUUGCUAAGGCCGAUGGCGACCGGCGCACGGGUGAGUAACACGUAUCCAACCUGCCGUCUACUCUUGGACAGCCUUCUGAAAGGAAGAUUAAUACAAGAUGGCAUCAUGAGUCCGCAUGUUCACAUGAUUAAAGGUAUUCCGGUAGACGAUGGGGAUGCGUUCCAUUAGAUAGUAGGCGGGGUAACGGCCCACCUAGUCUUCGAUGGAUAGGGGUUCUGAGAGGAAGGUCCCCCACAUUGGAACUGAGACACGGUCCAAACUCCUACGGGAGGCAGCAGUGAGGAGUAUUGGUCAAUGGGCGAGAGCCUGAACCAGCCAAGUAGCGUGAAGGAUGACUGCCCUAUGGGUUGUAAACUUCUUUUAUAAAGGAAUAAAGUCGGGUAUGCAUACCCGUUUGCAUGUACUUUAUGAAUAAGGAUCGGCUAACUCCGUGCCAGCAGCCGCGGUAAUACGGAGGAUCCGAGCGUUAUCCGGAUUUAUUGGGUUUAAAGGGAGCGUAGAUGGAUGUUUAAGUCAGUUGUGAAAGUUUGCGGCUCAACCGUAAAAUUGCAGUUGAUACUGGAUAUCUUGAGUGCAGUUGAGGCAGGCGGAAUUCGUGGUGUAGCGGUGAAAUGCUUAGAUAUCACGAAGAACUCCGAUUGCGAAGGCAGCCUGCUAAGCUGCAACUGACAUUGAGGCUCGAAAGUGUGGGUAUCAAACAGGAUUAGAUACCCUGGUAGUCCACACGGUAAACGAUGAAUACUCGCUGUUUGCGAUAUACGGCAAGCGGCCAGCGAAAGCGUUAAGUAUUCCA